UACGAAGGGGGCUAGCGUUGCUCGGAAUCACUGGGCGUAAAGCGCACGUAGGCGGAUCUUUAAGUCAGGGGUGAAAUCCUGGAGCUCAACUCCAGAACUGCCUUUGAUACUGGGGAUCUCGAGUCCGGAAGAGGUGAGUGGAACUCCGAGUGUAGAGGUGAAAUUCGUAGAUAUUCGGAAGAACACCAGUGGCGAAGGCGGCUCACUGGCCCAUAACUGACGCUGAGGCACGAAAGCGUGGGGAGCAAACAGG
rnacentral:rRNA from 1 species